GAACCAGCCCUCUGCUCGGCUGCUUUAGGAAAUACAGAAGAAUAUCCGUUCUGAAGGAAAGUGCAAUCUCAUUGAGGAGAUGAGCUGCAUAUCUAAAACAACAAAGUAGUAGUGUAAAAUAUAGGAUGAAUAAUCAGCAUGAGUGAAAAUAAAGGGCCUACAGAUUCAGAGGAGCUAGGUAGAAAGGUAGAACAUGAGGGAGAGGAAGAAGAGAAAGUAAUAGAGUAGGAGGGACAUUCUUGAGAGCUAUAAAAAAGUGAAAGGAAAACAAAGACCUGCAGAAUAGAAGUGGUAGGAUCCUUUAUCCCAGGCCUCCCUUUCAUUUCUGACUACCAAAGUGAUCUUCAGGGGUUCAUGCUAUGGCAAAGCUGCCCAUCUACAGACUUGUUCUCACCUAGACAUGGACUCCUGCUCAUUUGUCAAAAACCCAUUUUACCACCAGCACAGACCAAAGGUCCACGUGUCCCUUGUUAGAAUCCCAUGCAGAAAAGGAUGCUGUCCCUGUGGGAAGUCACUCUGGAUUUGGUGACAGUAACUUCAUUUUAGGGUCAUACUCAUCCUAUAUCCAGACACACCCCUGCUUGAAGAUGUGUUGGUCUGUCCUAGUGUACAGGAGUUUGGUGUGACUUCUUUUAAUUUUCUAGGUAAUUCGAAGUGCUAAUGAUAUGGAUAUUCGGGAAUCCUGGUUUCUGCACACUAGCUAAAAGCCAUUUAACACUCAGGCCGCCCUACUUGGAAGACGCAUGGCUCAGAGAUGCCUGGCUGGCAAGGCAUGGGUCUGUUAAAAGGAAAAGUGUUAUUUCAGCAGACUCACCACAGAGGCCUCUCUCUUGGUGGCUUUUGGGCCAUCUCUACUGAGAGCCACAGCCCAGUCGGAAUGGUCCCUGGCAUUUUGCCAGAAGUAGUGGUUGAGAGGUGACACCAGCGAACUAUUGAGAUGAUGACUUUUGAGUUCUAGCAGAGUUCCCGUUGAGUUCCGGUUGAGCUUCAGGGAUUCCUGAAGAGUUCCAGUUGGUUGGUGGAGUUCGUUCCGGUGCAGGGAGUUCUGGUUGGUGUGGUCCCUGGAAGGACCGCGUGGGUGGCCUUGGGGGGAGUUCGGAAAUAAAGUUUGUUCCUGCUUGAGUGGCUCGUGAUUUGUGCCCAGCCAGACUGCGGCAAUCUCUUGUGUUCCUAUCUUUGUAAAUAGACUCCUCUCAUAUCUGCCUCCAUAUUUAUAUGGUUACUGUGUGUGUGUGUGUGUGUGUGUGUGUGUGUGUGUGUACUUUUGUACACCUGUUUUGUGUCUAUUAACGGCCAUGACUGCUAUGAUUUCUAAGAGGCAGAUGGAGACACAGAUCUUGCAUGAUCUGCCCAGCCUCUUUUUGUACCCCUACUCCUCAUUUCCUAAGUUCCAACCAUAUUAGUCUCCUUUCUGUUCCACCUGAGUUUAGCACCUGCUGUUCACUUAGCCUGGAUCUUCACCUGGCCCCUAUUUUGUUUGGCUGAAGUUCUCAACUUACAGGAUAUUUCCUUUGGGAAGCCUUGCCUGCUGUCCCCUGGCAUUCUCUCAUGAGGCUUUUAAACCCUUCAUAUUCCUUUUUUCUUCUAGAUCCUAAGUUUCAUGAGGGCAGGGAGCGAAUCUGUCAUAUUCUUGCUGUAUCCCCAGCAUCUAGUACAAGUCUGAUAUAAAUAAUUACCUAAAUAUAAAUUGAAUAAAUGAAUGAUUCACUAUGUAAAAAGGACUUGAAACAAUGUAAUAAAGGAAAUGAUAAAAACAGAUGAGGGACUAGAUAAUGCAAUCGUUUAGAAAUGAAUUCAGUACUCACCCUUACCAAAAUGACUCAAAUUUAAAAUGAAAGUCAAUAUUAAAGGAUUUCUAUUAACUUAAUUUUGUCCGAAGAAACUCUUUUCCUUAAGAGGGAAAAAAAGAGUUGUACCAAGAUUUAUUUUAAAAGCUUCAGAGACAUCAAAUCAUUUUUAUAAAAUAAAAAAAAACCCUCUAGAUGAAUGUAUUUGAGUAGAAAUGCCCAGAAACAUGUGGAUUGCAUUUCCCUUAAACUCUCUUGGGUUUGCAAAUUGGAAAGAAGGGACUGGAAUAAAAUGCAUUUUCUAUUUUCCUGAAGUUGGUAUAUUUGGGAAACUGUGAUAUUUGAGAUAUUCAGGAAACUGAAAAUAUGUGUGGGUACUUGUUUAAGUACCGUUAUUUCCAGUACUACAUUAAAGUAGCUGAUAAGAAAGAGGAAGUGGGUAUUUAGCAUCUGAAAAGAACCAAUUCAAAAAAAAAUUUUUUUUUCUGUGUAGCUUUCACACAAGAGAAAUCUCCCUCUGCCUCCCCUCCUUGACCACAAUCAAUAUUUUUAAGGGAUGAAGACAGGAGGAGGAAAGAGUUUAUUCAGUCUUUUGUAUGCGACUGAGCUGUGAAAACAGGAUGAAGAUUUUGCUAAAUCUGUCCAUUAAGUGCCUCUAAGUGCUUUUAAAACAUGUCCUAGAGCAGAAUGGAGGGCACGAGAAGGAGAAACUGGGAAUUAAGGCUAAAUUAGUACAUUUCAGUGUCUUGAUAGUGAAAAUGUCAAAAAAAAAAUAGCAGGAGUGACAGAAGAUAAAACUUUAGAUACUCCACUUAAAUCUUCUUUUGUUGAGUAUCCUUAAAAGCUGAAAAGUUGUUUGAGUUUUUAAGUGGUCAAAUUAUGUGAUUUUUGCAGAGUGAGAAAUUAUUUUUCUGGUUAUCUAUCAGCAUCAAUAUGUAAUUUUCCCCUAGAGUGUGAGAUAAGAAGAACUGGGUUAAAACAUACCAACCUAAAUGCAUGGUAUGAUUACUAGACAUGACAAUAACUUCUGACAUAAGUAGCUAUUUACUUUCUAAUUGAGAUAUUUAAAACACUUUCAACACAAAAUCAACAGUUUAAUUACAUAUAAACUUUUUUUUAAAUAAAAAGGAGAAAAAAGUAAAAGAAAAUAAUUUUAAUAAAGCAUAUCAGUAAUAUUGCAUGUGGACAAAAAAGUUUAGAUUAUAUCAACCUCUUAUAUUUAGAGAUAAUAGUGGAAAGAGCCAUCCAUUUUUACAUUUAUAAAUUACGGCAAAUUCAUUUGUGUCUGAAAGGUGGACUGCUAGAGCCCCCUAGCUGUGGGAAAUAAUUCUGUCUUCAUAGGUGUAGAUAAAUAACCUAAUUGCAAUGGUAGUAAGUAGUUCACCAAUAAACCUACUGGAAACCAGUAAAAUAAGAUCAUAUGACAUGACAACUUCCCCAACACUGUUGUACUACCAUUUGGGUCCGCAGUAAUAUCAACACUUCCAUAAGCACUCAUGGACAUCUAUCUUGGCCUUCCACAUCUUGAACUUCUGGGCAGGGCUGUAUCAUCACCCUUUCCCCUAUUGUUUUGAUUGGUUUGAAUUAGAUGAGCUCCCACACACAGAAGCAUGGUGAGUCUGAUCAAGGCAGAAGAUUCCAGUUCUGUCUUUAACAGACAGAGGGUCUAUUCUAGGGACUUUUGGAUGGCCUUAGUCUUGGGACUAAUCAGACAAAUGUGUUCUAUUUGGUUUUCACUGAGCUUUAAAAGCUUCUAAAUAGCUAUGUGGCUUAUGUAAAUUAGAACAUUUGAGAUGAAAAUCCAUAUUUAAAGCUUCACUUGAAAAAUCCAAUGAUCUUGUAACUCUGGGACUGAGUGCCUAGGAGCACCAAUAGGCAAGUGCUAAUCAUGCUUAACAUAAGCGUGGCACAUACGACUUAGUCCACCACAACUCCUAUCUCUUCAUAAUGGAUAAUAUAGCAACCAUAUUAACUGCUUAGAAUCUGUUGGCAUCUGAGUUAGCAACUCUUGACCUAAACCCUGAAUAAUUAUACUAAGAAUGAAAAUAAGGCUUCUAGUAAUUCAUUGUUACUAUGAAUCAGGCACAGUGCAAGGUCCUUUAUGCUCAUUACCUCAAAUCUUCAGAUUAGCCAUUCAAGCAACUAUUGUACUUAUCUGCUGGGGGACAUCUUUUAAACCAUGUGUGAACUGAUCAACUAUGGAGCCAUUAGGCAGGGAAGCCCAGUCUUGGGACUUCCCAGGAAGAAUCCACUGGUUGGAGAAUACAUAAUUCAUGUUAACAUUUUUCUAGCUCUCUGCUCAAGGCUCAAGCACAGCUCUGGAGAUGGGAGGAACCCUCUAGAGCCAAACAGCCUCCUGGAGAUGGGUGUAGUUUGCCAAAUGCCAAUCAACCUGUUUACUGCAAGACCCCUGCCACCCAGAGAAGCAAGCACCAAAACAAGACUUCUGCCACUGACCCCUUAUGCUUACCUUUGAUGUACUCCCCCUUAAAUAAAGAAUCAGGGCCUUUUUCAGUUGUUCAGUUCCAGUUCCUAUCAGAACUGGAAAACCCAUCAGUCACUCUACUUUUUAAAUCAAAUCUUUGGCUUUGUCUUAUUUCUUACUGAUUAUUUCAGACUUUUUAUCUUCCCAGGCAGCUCACACUUCCUGAACAGGAACCUGCUCUGUCGGGGUGCUGGCCACCCCAUCAUACGUGUCUUAAUGAGGUUUUCAUUCAAAUUAAGUAACUCAACAAAUAUAUAAUGGGCACCAUUCUGAGCCAGGUAUUUUAGUAAUUACUGAGGAUACAUUGCUGAAAAAGACCGUUAUCACCCUUGCCCUCAUAGAGCUUUAGUCAUUGCAAAGUGAGAGUGUAGAUCACUGUGGGGAAUAAAGAAGGAAGAAUUUAUUGUGGAUGGUACCAGUGUCCCCAAACUUACAUCAGAGUCAGCUGGAAAGCAUGCAUUCCCCGCUACCUGCUCCAUUCCCUUUCCAUCUCUGCAUUUUCUGAUUUAACAGAUCUGUAGGGCCAGGAAAUCUACCCUUUUAAAAAAAUUGUGGCAAAGUGUCUAUAGCAAUUUUUUAAAUAAUUUUAACCAUUUUAAAUAUACAGUUCAAUAGCAUUAAUUCCAAUCACAUUAUGUGCAACUAUUCAUCUCUAGAACUUUUAUCAUCUUCUCCAUGAAACUAACUCCUUUCUUCCCUCCCUUAGCUGCAUAAUGUCUUCCAAGUUCAUUCAUGGUGUAGCAUGGAUCAGAAUUUUUCUUCCACUUAUGUAGAAACAACAUUAAAUUUAUUUAUUUAUAUGUUGAAGGACUUUGGGUUAUUUCUGUCCUUUUGGCCACCAUGAAUAAUGCUGUUAUGAACGUGAGUCUAACAAUGUCAGUUAAAAAGGAAUCUGCAUUUUUACCAAUAAUCCAGAUGAAUCUGACUCAGGCAGGUCAUGAGUUAGACAUUGAAAAUUAUGAUUAGGCUCUCUGAGAAAUUGACAUUCAAACUGACUCUCAAAGCUUGAGUGGGAGUUGACUAGGUGAAGAGAAUAAACAGCAUCCACCCUAGAAGUGUGGACUUCAACUCCUGAAAUAUUGAGAUACUGGAAUUGCCAUAAGAACAUACAUCAGCACUGAGGAUUAUGAGUGAGUGUCAUAACUUAGUUGAGUACCUAAAACAAGAGUUUUUCACCAUCCAUUCCUUUAACAUGUAUGUGUUAAGUGCUUUCUAUCUGUCAGCACCUUGCUGAGUAUAAGAAUAUUUCUUAUAUUACCGAGUCCAUUUACCCAUUCACUUGGAAUGAGCCGGGCAUGUGCUAAGUGCUGAAAAAUUAUAGGAAAUUGUUACACCAUAUAAUUUUAAUUGUUUCACAAAGUCUACAGAUGUAAUGUAUAAAUAUUAAUAAUUUUCCCCUAUCCUGAUCCCAAGAAAUGCCAAAGAAUUAUUUAAAACUCAAUGUGCCUAUAGGAAUGCACCUGAGCCAAUGACAUUAGAAUUUUUUUCCUUAGCUUGAAGUGUGGGAGUUAUAACUGGUGAUGAUUUCAGAGUGUUUGAGGCAUUCUUUAUUUCCACUAUUAAUCCAUUCUUUUGUUACUGAUGAAAUAUUGGCAUUGAUUUCUUGGUUUCCACUUUUAAAAAUGAGUCCCACAUUUACCAGCAUUUACAAAUGCUAUAAAGGUUACCUUGACACAUUGAUGAGAAAUCUGUGGUUCUUUGAAAAGGUAAAUAGAGGAAGUCUUUCAUGAUUAAAUCACUUUAAAAAAGACCUGAAAUUAUGAAAAAAAAAAGCCUGGAGGAACAUGAUUUUUAAAAUGCUUGAAUCAGAGAUAAAGGUUUACAACAGCAGACAACUCAAAGAAAUUCAGGAGAGUACUUUUUUGAAUACUUGCAUCAUUUAACUUGGAUGAUAUUUAUUGUACUAUAGGUGGUUAUUAGCAGAUGGCAAGUUUCUUGAAGGUAAGGCUGUUUCUUUAUCAUCUUUGAAUAGCUCUCAGCAUCAACACUGAGUAACUCAUAGUAUGUUAUGUGCUGGAGCCUGCCAUAAUAAUAGAAAUCCAAUAAAAAUUCAAUGAUUGGACAAACAAAUGAACAUGAUUCACAGAAGAGCAAUUUGGAAAGAAGCAAAAAUGAGUUACUAUUUGUUUAAAAUGAGCACACUUCUGUGUUAGGGAAGGCAGGCUGCAAGUCACGAGAUUUAACAUGAAAACAAAAUAUGGCAAAUAAAACCUCACUUUUUUCUUUUUCUUAAGGAGAAGAAGAUCCUGGCUCAUCCUGCAGAAAAAGCCCUUCUCAGAUGUAUGGCUACCACUGUCUGGAACAGUAAACCAGACUAAGUGUCAGAUCAGGCCAAGAGAAGUUGAAUAUCCUGUGCUGCCUGGGGUUUCCAUAUGGCUCUGCUUGGCGCUGCUCAGAAGCAUCUCAGAUCGAGCAAUAAAUUAUACAGUCACCCUAAUUUAGAGUACUUCAUAAAAUAACAGUGAAAGCUUACAUGGUGAUUACUAGACCCUGAGUACUAUUCUAAGUGUUUUAACUCUGAGCUCAAUACUGUCAUUAUCCCCAUUUACAGCUGAGAAAACUGAGGCUUGGAAAUUUUAAGUAUAUAGUUGGUGCCAAGUUGCACAGCUAGGAGAGGAGACCAAGAUUUGCGUCUAGGCAGUUGGCUCCAAAGUCCUUAGCCAUUACACUAGGCCGCAUCUGAGGAAGAGCUUGAUAAAUGUCGUUCCUGUGAAUGUUAUCAUAAAUAAUAAAGAAAGAGAGGACAGAUCUGGGAAGCGUGGUGGGAGGGUAGGGAGUAGCUUCACCUACUUCUCAAUUUGGACUUAAGUAUGGCCCAGAAUACAGCUGUCAGCCAGAUGUUGUUUAACCUUUUUUGAGCCUCUGGAUCCUGUCAAAUGAAAAGAUUAGAACUGCUGAUCUCUGAGGUCUCUUUCAGCUCCAGAUAAUAGUCUCCUAUUCUAUGAGUCCUCAUUACUGCAUAGCAUUUCUCUGGCUAAUAUUCCAAUACACUUCUUUCUCUUUUUUCCCUUCUGUUUUCGGCCCCUCCGCACUCAUCCUCCAUCCUCUGUCCAUAUGGCUUUCCUUGGUGAUCUCAUCCGUUCCCAUGACUUCAACGCUCACCUCUCUGUGGCUGACUCCCAAGUCUUUAUCUUAGCCCCUUCCUCUCUCCCAAGAUCCAGACCUGCAUUUCCAGCCGUCUGCGGGACUCCCUCCUAAGUCUCAUACUGAAAACUGUAGAUCAGCAUGUCCAGGGUCAAACUCAUCACUUUCCACGCUUCGCUAUUCAGGCACAGCGUCCCGCCUGUCCCUUGCAUCCCCCUCUCAGGCAGGUGUUGACACCUCAGAAUUUCACCUCUGUCACAACUUCCUUCCUUUCUUUCCAUUCCCACUGCUCAGACUCCAUUCGGCCCCAGCCCCCCUCCUGGACUACUCCUUCCCAACUCCCCCAGUUCUCACUGCUGGGGUGAACUUCCUGCACUAGGCCUGGAGUCUUUCAUAACAAGAGCACUCAGCGUUUUCCCAGGGUCUGCAGAGAAAAGACCAAAUGCUUUUCCAGCUGUAUACUCACUCCACUACUGAGCUCCAUAUAUCUCAUAUGCCCAGUGCUCCCCAAUUACAUAUGUAUUUUCUUACCUUUGGCAUAUGCUGUUCCUAUUGCUUAAGGCUUUUCCCUUCUAUGGUUCUUUGCCCAUCUUUCAAAAGAUUUCUUUCAAAUACCCAUUUCUUUAUGAAGUAUCAAAUUCCUAGGGCAGAUAUCCUCUUUCCUUUUGGUAAACAUUUACAGCACUUUUCCUAUCUCCACAGCACUUAUAUUCUUGUACAUUGUUUCUCUUUUUAUCUCACCAUAGUAGGGCCUCAUCUCUGUAAGGUCCAUCUUUCAUUCUCUCCAAGCCCCAGGCCCCUCAGUCCCUAUCACACCAUCACACAGAAGGAACUUGAUACAAGCGUGAGCACUAAAUCACUUGAUGGAGAUUUUAAAAAAUUAUCAUGGCUGCAAAUUACAGAAACCGAGCUAGACUUUUGUGUGAGUAGAAGGACAGAAUACAGAUUCCCAUUUUCUCUGCCCACUCUUCUGUGGACAGCAGCAUUGCAGAGAUAAGAUUGUCUUCCCGGUCUGAAUUCUAUGUCCCUUUCAAUAGCUUCAGGAAGAGUCUAGUUUCCCUUCCUCUUUUAAAGAAGCUUCUAGGAUUUGGGGGUGGCAACUCUUUGACUGCCUUUUUUCUCUGGCAUGCUACAACCAGAUGGUUCAUGCAAGGGCUCAGUACUCAAGAUUGUGCAAUCCGUAAAGAAGAAGGUUUCUAAAAAACAUUACCCUUGACUGUUUGAGCAUGGAAUAGUACAUUUAGGGAGAAAGUUUUGAAAGUGAUCACUAACUGAAAACAUGCAGGGAUGCUUAGCAAUGGUUAAGAUAACUUUCCACACUAUAUUUAUAUUUGGGCUAGGAUCAAAAACCAGAAAUGAGUUACAAACACAACUAAAGAAGAGCUAUUCAGCAAAGGUCAUUCAUUCUUAAUCUAACAGCUAAAAGGCAACAUUUCAAAAUAUGCAUUUCCUGCUCGAGUUUGCCCUUGGACUAAUAACUGAUUAUGGAAUUUUAAUUUAAUAUUACAGCAUAUGUUGCCUUUCCGAAUUCAAAAAAUCCAUGACUUGACUCCAAAAUCUUUUUGAGUUGUGCAGAAGAAUAGCCUCACAAAAAUAAGGUCAUCAGUGGUAGUAUUUAUAAUAAAUUUACAAUUUCAGAAAAAAUGGAAUCAAUAAAUACAAUUAAUAUUGCAAAUAAACGUCAAAAUGAUGUACUUCCUACCAUAUAAAUGAACCCUGUUUCACACAUAAAUGUGCUUUGUGGCAAUGGUUCAAAAUCCUUUUUCUUCAACAGUAAGCAGAUUGAAUGAAAUAAAAAAUGAUGUGCCAGGACUUAAAGGUACAAAUGGUACAAAUUUCAAAUUAUUGAUUGCUGACUGUGCUUACAGACAUCAAACAAUACUUUUUCAGGCAGCUAUAAUAGUCCACUUCAAUGGAGACGUGAUAUAUUACAGGAAAAUUGAAAAUGUGGGGAGUAUUCAACUAGUCAAUCAUCACUUUAAAUUAUUAAGGUUUUGGGUGGGUUUUUUAAGGUCAUAUAGAAAACAAUGCAAACUAAAUGAAAUAUUGUUAACUUCAAACUUUUCUUACUAAGCACCUUUAUUGUAGCUUGAAAGGUACCAAGAUACUUAGUCAGGACAGAAGUUCACUUUAUGUAGAAGUGUACAUUUGGUCAGAAUCCAUAGGCAGUGAUAUACCUUAAUGGAAAGCACAGCAGGACAAAGCAAUCACUCUUGAGGGACUCAGAAUGUAUUUAUGCAUGUUGUGGACUAACUUCUGAUUUAUGGGUGAGACAUAUGAUCUAACAGAGUGUGAAUCUGAGCUCUUUCAACCUUCCCAUUCAUUUAAAAAUGAUUGUGUCUUCCCCAAAGAAAUGGUCGAGUAUAGCAUCAAAAUUAAGUCAAUGGUCCUGCAUCAUUGCACUUGAAAUGCUCUUUCUGUAACCUAGAAAUGGGAAGCAGAUUUGUGUAUUAGAAAUAUCUAUUCAUUGGAAGUCUUUCAGUUGCAAGUGACAGAAACCAAACUCAAACCAGUCGAAGCCAAAAAGAUAAUUUAUGGUUGCAGGUUAUUGGAAAGUUCAAGUAAGGCUGGAUCCAGAAGUUCAGAUGAUGUCAUCAGGAAUGUGUCUGCUUCUCUCCAUCUCUCAACUGUGCUUCCUCUGAAAGACAUUCAUUCUCAAACUGAGCUGUAAUCUUGUGAAGGGGCCUGACUAUCAGGGCUGCCGAGAACCUGUGCAGUAUGGGAGGAAAUUUUGCUCAGGCAUUCCCAGCAAGAGUGAACUGGUUUAAAAAUUUUUAACAAUAGACUUCAUAUUGAUUUGCAAACUAGGACCUAGAGCACUCUUAGGGGCCUAGAGCCUGUGAUAUGGUGACAUGCACUGUCUAACGCUCCUUCAUACACAUGCUCUUAACCUUGUUCCCUCAUUGGUUUAGCUCAUAGCCCUUGAUGGUCUGCAUUUUGGACUUCACAAGGCAGGUGUCUCUGUCUCUGUCUCACUCCCUGUGUCUCUCCUCCCACCAUUCUCAAACCAUAUCAAAUUUCAAAGCAAGACACCACUGAUCCUUUAUGGGUAACCUCCAUGCCUGGCCAAUCAUGGUGCCCAGCAAGAUGAAAUACUUACAUGAGCCUAGAACAUGUCCAGCCCCACCCCACAGGAAGUGGAGCCGAAUUCAUGGACAGCUCCAUCAAUCACAUGUACAAUUGGAUAGGGGAAGCUGUCCCCAAAAGUAUGUGCUCCACCAACCCCAAAUAAGAAUGGGCCACCUCAAUUAUAGAUCACUGUGCAGAGUCAUGGCCAGGAGUCAUUUUCCCUGAACCAGUUUUCUGAGUCAGCUGAGAGCCACAAAACCAAUGAAAUAAGUCCCACCUGGAAACCCUCACUAGCUGUAGAGGAAAGGAAGGCUUAUUCCUGAUGUGGAUCUCUCCUCAUCAAAAGUACGUCAGAUUGAUAUCUGUGUGCCUAGGCUCCAACACGUGAACACAGUGCUGGGCCGUGGACCCCUGAAGCUGGUAGUCACCACAGGACAUUGGAGAAGGAAAAUAUCUCUUCUCUUGGAAGUUGGCUAAGGAGGUAAAUAUUUUAUUUCUGGUGCAAGCCUGGUUACCUCUUGAGUGCUGCCAGGCAUUACAGGAACAUAUUGGUGGAUUAGAAAAAAAAAUCCCUGCCUUCAGAAAACUCAGCUUUUAGGGGAUCACAAAAAAAAUCAAAUAGAUAACUAUGUAUAAUAUUAUGCAAUUAUAACUGAGAAUGGUGUAACAGGGUAUUAAAGGAACUAGGAGGAAGGAAGAGUGAUUAAUUUUGCUUGGGAUAGACAGAAUGAGCAGUACUCGAGGAAGUAGGGGGUAGAAGGGGUGUCAUGUAGGUUUCACAGGGGUUGACGUCUGGCCUAAAGAAUGACAGGAGGUGUGAUAACUUAGGGGGACCACAGCAUUUCAAGCAGAAGAAACAGUAAGAGGAGGGAGGGGAAAAUCAAUCCAAUAAUAGUCCCUGGCCAAGUUUCCAAGGCCAACACAAGAGACAGGAUUGAAGCAAUUAUUGAGAAAAUUGUCUCAAUCUUUCCUUUUCUCCUGGCUUUGGAAAUUUGGCUAUUGCUACAUUUUUGUAAGAGAAAAGAGUCUUGAUUCCAGAGACCACACAAUGUUAAGUGAUGGAAAAAUUAUUUUCUUAGACAAAACAGAGAAAAACCACAGAACCUGAAUUCAACUGGGGAAAAAAACUAGAUUUUACAAGAAGAGGAAAUGGAAAUAUUUCUUUUCUUUCUCUCUGUACUCUCACUUAAUCCAUUCUUCUCUUUUUUUUUUUUGGUGGGGGGGAGGCAAGGGAGGUUCACUUUAAAUAGCAAAUCCAUUGAGCAGGAGCCACAGUACAGAUUCAUAUAAUGCCUAAUGAGAGCUUAGUAAAAACUUGUAGUAAGAUGAGGGUAAUUAUUCAAAUAAUUUUCAGAAAUUUACUAAUAUCAAAAUCAAAAUCAAGUGUAGCUCCAAGAAUUGAUUCCCAUGCCCUCUUGUCUAUUAUCCUAUCUCCCCAAGGUCUGGGUAGCUUGUUAGCAUUCAAGACUUCCUUUGAAGAUUAAACAGCAUUAAAUUUUUGCCUUGCAAGGAAAGGGAUUAUGAAUUUAUGUGAAAACAAGAGUUGGGUAGAAAUGCCUGCAGAAAUCGAAAGGGGAAUAAAUUCUGGCUUAAAGUCCACAAAAUGUACUGAAAAUGAAUAGAAACCGCAUGGACUUCAGUUUUAGUAUUUAUCACCAUCAUUUCUGAACUAUUUGAUUUGGGGCAAGUUUUUCACGUCUUUAACCCUCGGUUUUAAAACUGAGAUAGUGACGGCAUCUCCAGCAUAAAGUUGCUUUGAGGAUUAAAAAGAAUAAUCCAUACAGAAGAGAUCAACACAUUGCCCACCACGCAAUAUUAUCUUGCCAUCAACAGAAUAAAAGAAAAGACAACAACAACAAAAUCGCCAGUAUUGGUACUAACCACAGAGCAGACAUUAUAUCAAGAUUGCAGUCUGGUACCAUCUACCUCACCUUUUGUCCUUUCAUCAGAGUAUUGACCCUAAUAUGAUUUGGUGACUGUUAUUAUUAUUAUGACAUUGACUCAUGGUAGAUACCACCAAAGGGCCAAAGGAUGGCAUUGUCAGUGUUUUUGACCCUCCUGUUAUUGGCAAAAAGAAAAAAGAAAAAUUUUUGUCACUCUUUUCUGAAAACCUUGACCAUUUUGGUGUCAUAGGCAUUUGAUUGUAAAGAGAAACAUAGGAAAUUCCAAGAGAUGUUAAUGCUGAGCCCAGAAGACCAGGUCAUCAGCCUUUUCCUUAUUCUGCGGGCAGAACUUCUGUCUUCUGAAAACACACUUGAAAUACCUGUCAUUUGAUAGGCAUUAAGUCUUCAAAUUUGCUAACGCUCAACAUUUGCCUUGACCUGCAUGUUCUAAGACCCAUGGAAGUAUAAGUUUCUUACUAAAGAGCAGAGUGGGUAGCAGUGGAGCUGUGAGCUGUCUAUAGAGUUCAAAAUAAGUAUGAAUGUUUCCUUUAUGUUACAUUACAGAAAUAUAUGUAAUUCAGUGCUGCAUAUCUUUAAAAUACAUUUGCCUAUUGGGCUCUUGAUUUUGGAACUGAUUUCUUACAAAGGAGCUAAAAUACUCUUCAAAGAGAGAAUUUAUGUGGAAACAGAAGUCACGACAGAAUUUCUGGUCAGCUGUGUGGUACAUAGACAUGUUGUAUCUUAUUUUUAAAGUUAACUAUUUUGAAAUAUUACUAAUUUAUCAAAUUUAAUAUGCAAAGAAUAAAAUAUGAGUAUUUAGGAUCAUAGAUAUAAAAAUGAAAACAAACAUCUGUAAGGGAGUACUUAAAGCUAUACAUAUGAGCAGUUUCCCAGGACGUUGUUCACAUACUUGCCAUUGAGAUUCACUUUUAGCAGGAUAUGUACACCAAGGGAUAUGUUGACUAUGAUUUAUUGAACAGUUGAACAGUUGCAAGAUAUGGGUCCUUAUGGUCAUCUAUCAUUGUGAAUGAUGAUUUAAGGGAGAUACAGUUUAUAAAAAGAGCAGCGUGAAGUUGAAAUAGCAGGAAUGGGCCAUGUCAUGACUUGUGCUCAAAAUGAAAUUUGAGAAAAAUAAUUUAAAUGGAAAAAUAUCAUCCAUGUUAGAUUUUGCAAAAUGAAAUAAAUAUGACUAUAUACAGUGGGCAAAAAUGUGAUUUCUAUUCCAUAAUUAAAUACUUGUUUCUUAGGUCAAGUUUUCCUAUGACAUUAAAAUAGUCAUUGGCUGGGUCAACAAUGAGUUUUUACCUUUCUUUAAAAGUGUGAAUUUGAGGGACUUUUUUUUUUAAUGAACAAAGAAGCUAUAUACUUUAAGGCUUCUCAUUUCAGGAAAAAAAAAAUCAAUCAAAAGUAGGGGUUUUUGAGUCUACAACAAGAUCUGUCACUUUGCAAGCCAGAGUGUCAGUUUCAUGAUCUGUAAGAGUGAUACAUUCAUAUCCUGUCCUCGGUGCUUAGUAAUUUAUCAGAAUGCUAACCUAGAUCAGGAUCACAGCAUUUGGAGCUCCUGACCAGAGGGAAACUGAAUGGCCCGUGACCAAGAACUCUGUAGUUACCUGAACAGAAAUCCAUACCAGGAUUUUUUCAGAACAUCAUUGACCCUAACACAAUUAAAUACGCUUCAUAAAUAAAAAGAGCUUCGUGGUCAAAUACAUUGGGAACAUAACAAAAUGAGUCUGGUUUCUUUAUUGCAGGAUUUCUCAAGAAUCUUUAAUAAACCAACAUGCAUUGUGAAUCCCAAGGGGUCUCAGAAUGUAGAUUCCUACCUUAUUUUCAUAUGCCAUCACUGUUUUUGUUUUUUAAAGAAAGCAUGUGAAACUCUUGAGAAAAAUUAAGGGUGCCCUAAGAUACAGAUUGAAAAAUACUUGUUUUUUUCUCGAGUCAGAUAUUUUAGAUUGGUAUAUUUUUAUUAACAGGAUGAUAAAGAACCAAAACUACUCAACAGAAUGCUCUUUUAGGGGGAGGUUUCUUGGAAUUCUACAUCUUUCAUUGAAAGGUCUUAGGGUUGUCUUUUCUGUAAUGAGUUAAUUAUGGCUUGUCAGUGAUUUUAAAAUGAACAUUUCCAAACCUAAAGAUGGCUCUAGAACAUAGAAGAACAUGCAACAGGAAAACUAGGCACAAGUGUGAUCUUUUUGGAGCCCUUUGCAUAAUUUUGGAGAUGAUGAGAAUUUAUUUUUUAUGGAUUAAAACAAAGUUGUUAACUGCAGAGCAGAAGUCGGGUCAGACAGAUAUACUGCUCCUGAGAAUGCACUGAUUACAAUUUGUAUUUUAUGGUAGUUGAAAAGUUGGAGUUGCUUGCUAAUGAGAUCAAGCACCAUUACAUAUAUUACUAACAUUCACAGAAGCUGCAGAUUCAUUUUGAAACAUCUUUAUGCUACAUUUGCUCAAAGCAUUGUCUUCCUGUUAAAAGAAUUCACCUACACAUUGAAUUUCCUCUAUAAUAUACUACUGAUAGUCUAAAGAAAUAUUUCCAUGUAUCUCUUUGUCUGAAUUGGAAAGCUAUGCAUUUUUUUGAGUUCUGUUUCUUCUGAAAACUAGUUGUUGACAAAUAAGAAUGUCACAAUGAUUAUAGGACUGAAUUACCCUGUUGAUUUCCUAAUUCGCUGCUUGAAUUGUAAUGCUUCAAAAUAAGUGCAAUCUCUCUAAAAUAUUUUGUCAUCUUAUACUGUUUGAA